rnacentral:rRNA from 1 species
GUAGGCGGUUUGUCGCGUCUGCUGUGAAAGGCCGGGGCUUAACUCCGGUUUUGCAGUGGGUACGGGCUAACUAGAGUGCAGUAGGGGAGACUGGAAUUCCUGGUGUAGCGGUGGAAUGCACAGAUAUCAGGAGGAACACCGAUGGCGAAGGCAGGUCUCUGGGCUGUAACUGACGCUGAGAAGCGAAAGCAUGGGGAGCGAACAGGAUUAGAUACCCUGGUAGUCCAUGCCGUAAACGUUGGGCACUAGGUGUGGGGGACAUUCCACGUUUUCCGCGCCGUAGCUAACGCAUUAAGUGCCCCGCCUGGGGAGUACGGCCGCAAGGCUAAAACUCAAAGAAAUUGACGGGGGCCCGCACAAGCGGCGGAGCAUGCGGAUUAAUUCGAUGCAACGCGAAGAACCUUACCAAGGCUUGACAUAUACUGGACCGCAUCAGAGAUGGUGUUUCCCUUCGGGGCUGGUAUACAGGUGGUGCAUGGUUGUCGUCAGCUCGUGUCGUGAG